rnacentral:rRNA from 1 species
AUUGAGUUUGAUCAUGGCUCAGGAUGAACGCUAGCGGGAGGCUUAACACAUGCAAGCCGAGGGGUAUAGUUCUUUCGGGAACUAGAGACCGGCGCACGGGUGCGUAACGCGUAUGCAACUUGCCCUACUGAAAAGGAUAGCCCUUCGAAAGGAGGAUUAAUACUUUAUAACAGAUUUAAUGGCAUCAUUAGAUUUUGAAAGAUUUAUCGCAGUAGGAUAGGCAUGCGUAAGAUUAGUUAGUUGGUGAGGUAACGGCUCACCAAGACGAUGAUCUUUAGGGGGCCUGAGAGGGUGAACCCCCACACUGGUACUGAGACACGGACCAGACUCCUACGGGAGGCAGCAGUGAGGAAUAUUGGACAAUGGGUGGAAGCCUGAUCCAGCCAUCCCGCGUGUAGGAUGACGGCCUUAUGGGUUGUAAACCACUUUUAUCUGGGGAUAAACCUACUCACGUGUGAGUAGCUGAAGGUACCAGAAGAAUAAGCACCGGCUAACUCCGUGCCAGCAGCCGCGGUAAUACGGAGGGUGCAAGCGUUAUCCGGAUUUAUUGGGUUUAAAGGGUCCGUAGGCGGAUUAAUCAGUCAGUGGUGAAAUCUCAUAGCUUAACUAUGAAACUGCCAUUGAUACUGUUAGUCUUGAGUGAUGUUGAAGUUGCUGGAAUGUGUAGUGUAGCGGUGAAAUGCUUAGAUAUUACGCAGAACACCAAUUGCGAAGGCAGGUGACUAAACAUCAACUGACGCUGAUGGACGAAAGCGUGGGGAGCGAACAGGAUUAGAUACCCUGGUAGUCCAUGCCGUAAACGAUGGAUACUUGCUGUUGGGCUUUCGGGUUCAGUGGCUAAGCGAAAGUUAUAAGUAUCCCACCUGGGGAGUACGUUCGCAGAAUGAAACUCAAGGAAUUGACGGGGG